UAGCACUAAUGAUAGGAUUGGGGGCU
rnacentral:piRNA from 1 species